GGAGGAUAAUGCAUCAUCUAGUCAUCAGAUCUGAAAGGCAGAAAAGUUUGGGAAGGUAGAUACCAAAGGACAGAAAGAUUUCUCUUCGACUUGAAAUAGAUUUUGAGACUUCAUUGAAUGCAAGAUCCCUGUGCUGUCUGGGAAUAAUCAUGAGCGUGACACUGUCUUGCACUUAAGAGUUGGAUGAGGUGAAUGGGAGGUACCACUCCCUGUCCUCAGUGUCAUGAACUUGUUUGGAGCUGGCCUGCCCUGCAUGGAAUGCAGGCUGAAGCCUCCUCCCUGCCUCAGAGGCCGAAUCUUAUCUCUAAUGAUCUGAGUCCUCUGGGAUCUAAACCAAGUGACUCUGGUGCAAUUCUAUUCAUGUAGCCACAGGGGAGAUCUACUAAAAAUUUUUUUUUUGGAAGGUAUACAAUACAGAGAGAUCCCUAUACAAUUUUUUCUGAAUGUUACCAUUUGCAAUGGUACCAGUGGCUGUCCUACGGAACCUAUGAGGAGAACCUGUUUAGGAGGAAAGCAGAGUACUGACCAGAACAAAACAGAGGAAGGAAUCUUAGUCCUUGAAUAUUAGUCCUAAUUCAACCAACCAGCCCUGGGGCCAUCUUAACUCUGAACUUCUUCCUAUGUAUUGAAGCCACUGCUAGUUGGUCUGUCUGGCACUUAUACCUUUUAACAUCAAUGGAUAUGCUACUCCAGAGAUCCUCUGGAUAAAAUCUUUCAUUUUAAAGACAGGGAAACUGAGAUCCUAAGGGAAGAAGAGAUUCAUCCUUUGUUUCCUGGAUAGGGAGCCAUGAGCAGAGUACUCUUGGACUAAUUUUUCAAUAUACUAUGUUGUCUCUCCCUGUAGUGCAUGGCUAUUAGUUUUCCUGGCUCUCUAAGAAAAAAUUCCACAAGUCCUGAUGGAAACCCAUUAACUUUACUCCAUAAAGACAAGCUGGGACAAUAGAGAUUUUUAUAUCACUAAGUCAUUUAACAUCUUUCUAAUUGGGUAUGAAAACGCUUAUUCCUCAUUCCUCAGAACUUGUUCUGUCUUCUGAUUCCAUUUGCUCCGUUCACACCUACUUUGCUAGACACUGAAAAUGACAUGGUAAGCAAGGCAGACGGUAUCCUUGCUUCAUGCUCCUAAAUUUAAAACAUCACUCUUCUCUUUCUGCCUCUGUAAAGUUGAACCUUCAUUCUAAAAAAGGAGAAGGAUCUCAAGGUCAGCAAGCAGAAAUGAAGAAGGAAAGACCUAUAGCUAGGAAAUAGAGCAAAGUCUAUUUGGUCUGAGCCAGACAGCUGAGUGGGGAGACAAGAAGGCCCUUUAGGGCUGGUCCCUCUGAUGUGGCUUUGUCCCUGAGGAACCAUGGGGAGAAACAUUUGAAAGCUGCCUUUCCCUGCCAGGGUUUUGUUUGCUCUUCUGGGACAGGGACAAUUUGGCUCCGUUUUGAAGCAUUGGGGACAUAAAAUCGCCUUGAGCAUAGCUGGGAAAGGACAUACCCCUAACUCUAGAAGAUGAGGAUAGAUUGAAUGCCAGUGGCAGAAUCCACAGGGAAUGACUCCAAGUUCAAGGUAAACAAGUUAAAACUUAUAUUUGGGAACUAGUUCCCUUGGGACUUCAGACUGACUGUAACUACACUCAUGGGUGGAAUGUAUCCUAAGGCAUCCAGGAAGCUCACACUCCCCUCCUCUGCUAGUCCCGCAGGCCUGGAUGCUACCAGGACUUUGCUUGAGACCAUCUCAGUCUCAAAAUUGGCUAAGUAAAAGACUCCCUUUGGAGAUUGACAAAGAUUUUCCUUUUGGCUGAAAGUGGUCUCUUGAUCAUUCAGAAACUU